CAUUUUCAGUAAAGAAGUCCUGAGUAAACACGUUGUCGUUGAAUACCGCUUCUCUGCCGAACCUUAUAUUAGUGCCUCAUGCAGUAAUGUCUCAGUUUUAUCUCAGUCAAGCCUGCGGGCUAAGAAAACACUCUAAGGAAUUUUGCAAAUGGCAAAGAUUAAAGGUCAAGUUAAGUGGUUCAACGAGUCUAAAGGUUUUGGUUUCAUUACUCCUGCUGACGGCAGCAAAGAUGUGUUCGUACACUUCUCUGCAAUCCAGGGUAAUGGCUUCAAAACUCUGGCUGAAGGCCAGAACGUUGAGUUCGAAAUUCAGGAUGGCCAGAAAGGCCCAGCUGCAGUUAACGUAACUGCUAU
rnacentral:sRNA from 1 species